UAGACCAGGGCUGCCCAACCCUCUUCCUGGAGAUCUACCGUCCUGUGGGUUUUCAGUUCAACCCUCUUCCUGGAGAUCUACCGUCCUGUGGGUUUUCAGUUCAACCCUCUUCCUGGAGAUCUACCGUCCUGUGGGUUUUCAGUUCAACCCUCUUCCUGGAGAUCUACCAUCCUGUGGGUUUUCAGUUCAACCCUCUUCCUGGAGAUCUACCGUCCUGUGGGUUUUCAGUUCAACCCUCUUCCUGGAGAUCUACCGUCCUGUGGGUUUUCAGUUCAACCCUCUUCCUGGAGAUCUACCAUCCUGUGGGUUUUCAGUUCAACCCUCUUCCUGGAGAUCUACCGUCCUGUGGGUUUUCAGUUCAACCCUCUUCCUGGAGAUCUACUG